CCCCUAGAUGUUCUGGGCCGCACGCGCGCUACACUGACGAAUGCAACGAGCUUAUAACCUUGGCCGAAAGGUCUGGGUAAUCUCCAAAUUUCGUCGUGAUGGGGAUAGAUUAUUGCAAUUAUUAAUCUUCAACGAGGAAUGCCUAGUAAGCGCAAGUCAUCAGCUUGCGUUGAUUACGUCCCUGCCCUUUGUACACACCGCCCGUCGCUCCUACCGAUUGAAUGGUCCGGUGAAGCGUUCGGACCGUGGCCUCUGGACGGUUCGCCGUCUGUUGGCUGCGGGAAGUUCGUUAAACCUUAUCAUUUAGAGGAAGGUGAAGUCGUANCA
rnacentral:rRNA from 1 species